GCGAGAUACGAAGCACAGCCGCUAGGAAAUAAUGCUUACAGUAUGGGCAGUUUGUGCUUGUUAACCUGUGCCCCCUACCUGUUCCUCUGAUAAUCAUGCCUUUCGCUUCUAAAGGACGUGGAGUACAAAGGCCCCCCUACUACUGUAUCAUUAUAUAUAUUGGUCAGUAGUUUCAGUCUGUGCACAUCCACUGGCCGGAAGACACCAGCGCAAUACAAACUUAAGUAAGAUUGUGCAGUCCAGUAUUUACCAGGUGUUGCAGCUGGCAGCAGCCAUCCAGUGGCGAAGGUGCGUUUUGUCUUUUCUUCUGCCUUCUACAACUGACUGAACGUGGAAAAAUCUACUCAAAUUCAAUUUCUGGUAGCGAGAACACUUUCCCAUUACGUGGCGGUAACUUGAUUAAAUCUUUACUAGUUCAGAGCGGAUCUCAACUGAGAAAAUGUGGGUACGCUGAGUUGAAAAUGUCUUGUUAAAAGUUAUACUUAGAUAUGAAUUCUGCUACCCUUUUCAAUGCUUUUCAAUGGAAGAUUAGACAAAGUGCUGUUAGCAUAUUCACUCACCCUCACCACCGCCUCAAGUAACCACCACCUCCACCAGUAACCUCAUUCCAUCAGUCUAGCAAAGUCGUCUUUACAUGACAACACUCUAGCAUUUGUCUGCCAGGGGCUU